UACGAAGGGGGCUAGCGUUGUUCGGAAUUACUGGGCGUAAAGCGCACGUAGGCGGAUCGAUCAGUCAGGGGUGAAAUCCCAGGGCUCAACCCUGGAACUGCCUUUGAUACUGUCGAUCUGGAGUAUGGAAGAGGUGAGUGGAAUUCCGAGUGUAGAGGUGAAAUUCGUAGAUAUUCGGAGGAACACCAGUGGCGAAGGCGGCUCACUGGUCCGGUACUGACGCUGAGGCGCGAAAGCGUGGGGAGCAAACAGG
rnacentral:rRNA from 1 species